CCUCCAUCCUCCCCGCACAGGAGGAUGGAACGAGGUACCCGACGCUCUCUGCCCUGACUGCGUCGAGACCUCCCACACGGCCGAGGGACCGCACACCCCCGGCCGGGCGACUCCGGGCUGCGGUGCCGGGCGGGCUGAGGGUCCCGCCGGGCGC
rnacentral:ncRNA from 1 species